UACCAGCACCCCGAGUGGUCGGGACGUUUAUUGGGCCUAAAGCAUCCGUAGCCGGUUCUACAAGUCUUCCGUUAAAUCCACCUGCUUAACAGAUGGGCUGCGGAAGAUACUAUGGAGCUAGGAGGCGGGAGAGGCAAGCGGUACUCGAUGGGUAGGGGUAAAAUCCGUUGAUCCAUUGAAGACCACCAGUGGCGAAGGCGGCUUGCCAGAACGCGCCUCGACGGUGAGGGACUGAAAGCUGGGG
rnacentral:rRNA from 1 species